GGGUAGUUUGACUGGGGCGGUCUCCUCCUAAAGAGUAACGGAGGAGCACGAAGGUUGGCUAAUCCUGGUCGGACAUCAGGAGGUUAGUGCAAUGGCAUAAGCCAGCUUGACUGCGAGCGUGACGGCGCGAGCAGGUGCGAAAGCAGGUCAUAGUGAUCCGGUGGUUCUGAAUGGAAGGGCCAUCGCUCAACGGAUAAAAGGUACUCCGGGGAUAACAGGCUGAUACCGCCCAAGAGUUCAUAUCGACGGCGGUGUUUGGCACCUCGAUGUCGGCUCAUCACAUCCUGGGGCUGAAGUAGGUCCCAAGGGUAUGGCUGUUCGCCAUUUAAAGUGGUACGCGAGCUGGGUUUAGAACGUCGUGAGACAGUUCGGUCCCUAUCUGCCGUGGGCGCUGGAGAAUUGAGGGGGGCUGCUCCUAGUACGAGAGGACCGGAGUGGACGCAUCACUGGUGUUCGGGUUGUCAUGCCAAUGGCAUUGCCCGGUAGCUACAUGCGGAAGAGAUAAGUGCUGAAAGCAUCUAAGCACGAAACUUGCCCC
rnacentral:rRNA from 1 species